rnacentral:rRNA from 1 species
AACCGGGAGGUCCAGUCAUCCAUAACGGUAAGAUAGUAAAGGAAAUUUAGAAUGCUCUCAAAAUAGUAUUAUGAAGUAAAAUUCGAAUAUUUUUUUAAAACCUAAGAAGCUUUUGUCCGAAGCUAUGAAAUCCUUGAGGGAAACUGGGAUUAGAUACCCCAUUAUUCUUGGAUAUAAAACUUUUACCAGGGUACUACGAACGCUGUUUAAAACCCAAAGAGCUUGGCGGUAUUUUAGACCCCCCAGGGGAACCUGUCUCGUAAUCGAUGAUCCACGCGAUACCUGACCCUGUUUAAUUUUGUUUGUAUACCGUCGUCUUCAGGUAACUUCCAAAAAGAAAAUAGUUAGCAAAAGACACUAAAGUGUAUGACGUCAGAUCAAGGUGCAGCUUAUAACAGGGGGAGGAUGGGUUACAAUUACCAUUUAUAACACGAACAAGAUUAAUUGGAAAAUCUCUUUUAAGGAGGACUUGGAAGUAAAACCAUAAAGAGAGAUAGUUUGAAUAAGGCUCUGAAAUGU